UGGGGAAUUUUCCGCAAUGGGCGAAAGCCUGACGGAGCAAUACCGCGUGAGGGAGGAAGGCUUUUGGGUUGUAAACCUCUUUUCUUAGGGAAGAAGAUCUGACGGUACCUAAGGAAUCAGCAUCGGCUAACUCCGUGCCAGCAGCCGCGGUAAUACGGAGGAUGCAAGCGUUAUCCGGAAUUAUUGGGCGUAAAGCGUCCGCAGGUGGCUCUUCAAGUCUGCUGUCAAAGACAGAAGCUCAACUUCUGGCAGGCGGUGGAAACUGGGGAGCUAGAGUACGGUAGGGGUAGAGGGAAUUUCCAGUGUAGCGGUGAAAUGCGUAGAGAUUGGAAAGAACACCAGUGGCGAAGGCGCUCUACUGGACCGAAACUGACACUCAGGGACGAAAGCUAGGGGAGCGAAAGGGAUUAGAUACCCCCGUAGUCC
rnacentral:rRNA from 1 species